rnacentral:rRNA from 1 species
CCAGACUCCUACGGGAGGCAGCAGUGGGGAAUAUUGCACAAUGGGCGAAAGCCUGAUGCAGCAACGCCGCGUGAAGGAAGAAGGGUUUCGGCUCGUAAACUUCUAUCAACAGGGACGAAAGAAAUGACGGUACCUGAAUAAGAAGCCCCGGCUAACUACGUGCCAGCAGCCGCGGUAAUACGUAGGGGGCAAGCGUUAUCCGGAUUUACUGGGUGUAAAGGGAGCGUAGACGGCGAUGCAAGCCAGAUGUGAAAGCCCGGGGCUCAACCCCGGGACUGCAUUUGGAACUGUGUGGCUGGAGUGUCGGAGAGGCAGGCGGAAUUCCUAGUGUAGCGGUGAAAUGCGUAGAUAUUAGGAGGAACACCAGUGGCGAAGGCGGCCUGCUGGACGAUGACUGACGUUGAGGCUCGAAAGCGUGGGGAGCAAACAGGAUUAGAUACCCUAGUAC